CACACCCACAGCAUAUGGAAGUUCUGGGGCCAGGGACUGAAUCCAAGCCACAGCUGCAGCAAUGCUGGAUCCUUUAACCCACUGCACAGGGCUAGGGAUUGAGCCUGCGCACCUUUGCAGUGACCCGAGUUGCUGCAUUCAGAUUCUUAACCCACUGCUCCAUGGCAGGAACUCCUAUUUGUUUUCAUUUUGAUUAUCUUCUUGCUUGUUUUACAAUCCUGACUUUACUAAGAUACCUGAAAGAUGACAUUUAGUAUAUUUGAUCUUGUUCUGUGUCUUCUCUGCCUCAAGAAAGAGGAAGAUUAUCCAUGACCUGGAUCAGGGCUGAUUCUCCCAAGUGCCAUGGUUUUGUCCUUUGCUGUGUUAAAUAACCCUUGCCCUCCUCCUAAACCCAUCCCACAGGUUCCCGAGGAACAUUCAGUUCCUUUAACUUCCAGGAGAAAGGCAGGUCAAUAUUACUAAUGGAGUGUGUUCUGCGUACCACCAGGUUUGGAAAUAUUUUUUUGUGAAGGCAUGCAUAGGCUUCAUAACUCUGAACACGUCCACAAAAAAGCCAGACCACACUUGGCCCAUGUCUACCUAGGACUCAGGGGCAUUAAUGUUGCCAGAUUCUUUGCAGGUACUAGUCAGGACUGUUUUCUUGCCUUCUUCAUACUAGGCCCAUUUCCAGGUGGCUGAGGUACAGAUCCUGUUAUUACUUGAUUUGCUUUGGACAAAUUUCCUGACCUGCUCCUUCUCUGCCUCUUACUUGUUUGCUCUGUAGUUACUUCUUCAACCCUGCACUUCACACCUACCCCUUACUGCUCUCACCAUGUCCAUCUUCCAACUCAUUCAUGCUUGUUUUAACAAUCCUACUCUACUCGCUGCUAUCACUCUCUCAUAGGAUGGCCAGGCUGGAUAGAGUGAGGGACGGUCUUGUCUCUGGAGAGCUCAGAGCAAGGUGAAGGCCAUUUUGAAGACACUGGCUUUCAAUAGAGAGCCAUUGGAACAUCUUCAGUGGGGGGUGGAUUUCACAAUUUCAACAAAUAUAUUCUAGUUAAAUUUUGGUGAGUGCCCCUUUUUGUCAUUUUUAAAAUUGAAAUAGUUGAUUGACAAUGUUGUGUUAAUUUCAGGUAUACAGCACAGUGAUUCAGUUAUACAUACAUAUUUUUUUCCAGAUUCUUUUCUCUUAUAGGUUAUUACAAAAUAUUGAGUACAGGUCCCUGUGCUAUACAGUAGGUACGGUAUCAAAAGGUCGGGAAUGAAAUGAGGAACCAUCCAAGCAGAAGGAUGAAGACUUCAGAGGAUGGGAGAGAACCCAGGAGGAUAUGGUGUUUUGGAAGCCAUGUCAAUGAAAAACAUCAAAGAGAAGGGGGAAAUCUCUGUGACAGGUGCCAAGGAAGGGUCACAUAAAUAAUGAAAAAGAAUUAGCCAUUGAAUUUAGCAAUGAGGCUGACAUUGGUAACUUUGACAGUUUCCAUGAAGUGAUGGGAGCAAAACGCAAGGGUGACACACCAUGAAUGCCAGCAAGAGGGGCAGAGAUUAGGUGGGAUGCUGUCCUGGAAACAAGAAAGUCCCUAAGACACAGCACCUUAAGACUGACUCUGCCAUGUUCAUAACACUCUACAAACUACAUCACAGGGACACCCCCAGGAGAGAUGAGCAGGAGGCUGGGAGGCUGUUUGAUAAGCUGAGCACUGUUUGUGUUGUUUUUAAUUUUGUUAAGACAGACUGAAUAUUAAAUAAAGCUUCUGGAGUUCCUUAUGUGA